AACGAACGCUGGCGGCAUGCCUAACACAUGCAAGUCGAACGAGACCUUCGGGUCUAGUGGCGCACGGGUGCGUAACGCGUGGGAACCUGCCCUUAGGUUCGGAAUAACUCCCCGAAAGGGGUGCUAAUACCGGAUAAUGUCUUCGGACCAAAGAUUUAUCGCCUUUGGAUGGGCCCGCGUUGGAUUAGCUAGUUGGUAGGGUAAAAGCCUACCAAGGCUACGAUCCAUAGCUGGUCUGAGAGGAUGAUCAGCCACACUGGGACUGAGACACGGCCCAGACUCCUACGGGAGGCAGCAGUGGGGAAUAUUGGACAAUGGGCGAAAGCCUGAUCCAGCAAUGCUGCGUGAGUGAUGAAGGCCUUAGGGUUGUAAAGCUCUUUUACCCGGGAUGAUAAUGACAGUACCGGGAGAAUAAGCUCCGGCUAACUCCGUG
rnacentral:rRNA from 1 species